AUGCCUGUGCAAAGUCGAUGGACCAAGACAAUAAUCCUGGCCCUUCUGAGAUCUGCCCGUGUGGCAUUAAAUCAAGGAUCAAGCUGCAGAGGCCCCAGAAGAAAGGCUGCUGAGGGCCUUUCAAACUACACAUCUGUUUGUUUAUUUGUUCAACGUGUUCAACUUAUGUCAGCUGUUCGGAGAGCUUUCUCAAACCACUUAAGCAAUGGUCAGCCUGCUUCCCGAAACUAGUCCCACGGCCGGCACUGAUGCAGUUGGUCGCUCUAAAUUCAUACGUGUACCAACAGAUAUCUAGCCACCUCACAUGGAAAAUUGGAAAUUGAAAACCAAAGACGCCAAAACACGUCGAAAGAAGAAACGCGAUUGCAAGGAUGGAAGGUAAAUAUGAAUGUUUCACUAAGUGCUCAAGCCUGUUGCCCACACACAGAUAUUUAGAGAUAUUUGAGGUUCCUUGUAGUCUCCUGCCUGCACUCCAUCUGCUGGCCCAUGGCUCCCCCGUAGACUUUGUGUCCUACUCCUCAGCCCCCCUUGGAUGUCUCAGACACCACAGGGCAUCUAUGUUUAGGAGGCUGAAUCCCUAAGCCACAAGUGUUUGAUAUUCAGGUCCAGACUGUAGACACCUAAAUAUACCUUCUAAAUGUGAAUGUCUUCAUGUGAUCCAGGUGUCUGAGCUCCUGUUAUAGCUGGCGGAGACUAGUCAAUAGGGGCAGAGAAGUUUGCAGAGCUAUUCUGAUCUCCCUAAAACAGAUCCCAUGUCUGGACCUCCUGACCACAUGGAUAGGGCUGACCAGCUUUCUCUUACUGUUGCAGCAGCUUGACUCCUGGCUGAGAUGAGAGGCUGGUACUUAGACCCUGGUUGUAAGUGUCUACAACCAAGAACUGGAUCCCAUCCCGAAAACCCCAUCAAUUGUUGUGAGCAGCUGUUAAUGAUAAGGAACCAUACUGUCUCAGUCUUUUCUGAUAUUAAGAGACAAUGAUUUUGAUGAGUUGGGCCUUUCAUGAAGUCUCUGUAAGUACUCUGACAAUUAUAUACCUGGAUUGCUUUAUAGUAUGCCAUAGAAGUAAAGCAUGGCUGUUCUGCAUUGAGUGGCAAAGGGGCUAUGAAGGGACAAGGUGUCCACC
rnacentral:lncRNA from 1 species